GUCGCGAUGGCCGAGCGGUUAAGGCGUUUGACUAGAAAUCAAAUGGGGUCUUCCCGCGCAGGUUCGAAUCCUGCUCGCGACG
rnacentral:tRNA from 1 species